rnacentral:lncRNA from 1 species
UUCAGAGGAGUGAAAAGCAGUUAUGACACCGAGCUCACAGUGCGGUGCUUCAAAUUGAAAUGUUUGCAUUUAGCACGCAGGUGCAUGCGUGCAUGCAUGUGUGUGGUUAACAGGAAUGUGCUGGUGCAGUAAUUGAGAGAUAAGAUCGCAGCAGAAGGCGCUGACAGACAUGAGGAGAGGUGGUGAGGAAAAUGAUCUUCAGUCAGACUUCAUUUCCUUCUCUGAAUCUGUCAAAUUUGCCCCCAAUUGCACUCUUCCAGUCCCUACUGAAUUUAAAUCACGCAGGUAAAAAACUUGACAUCACAUGAAAUUGGUAGUUAAUUAUUGUACUCUGUAUUUUUUUUUCAUAUCUAAAUUUUAUUCCACAACAAAAAUUCAAAGCAAAAAUAUUUGAGGUCAAAGAUCCAGUGACCAUGUGCAAAAAUUUUCACUUCGUUUUAUAAAGUCACACCCAGAGAUAAACAGAUCCAGUGACCAAUUUUAUAAUUAAUUACUUGGAAACUCAAUAAAAUGUUGUUGUCGCAGAAAACCUGUAAAGCCUACUUUUUGUAUACAGAAAAUUUACAGAAGGAAUUGAUAAUGCAGUCAAUAAAGAUUAAGAUCGAUAAGCAGAAUCAGUAAUGGCAUUGGCAUGAACACUGGCAUCAAUACACAUCCCUACUCUGGAUGCAGUCUGGACUUCCUGGAUGAUGAUCCACCGAUCUCGCCAUCUUCUCCAGAAUUUUCUAUGAUGUACGCUGUGUGGCGACUGGUCUCUCAAAGUGUAAAUGUGUUUUUCUUGACACAGUCACUUUUACCCAGACAUAGGGGUGCAGAUGGGAAAAGCGGGUGUGUGAACUGAAGUUAUGAUUUUCCAAACAGCCGGAGUGUGUGUGUGUGUGUGUGUGUCUGUGUGAGAUAUAUGUUUUUUUAUAGGACACACAGGAGGAGACUUAAGGUGGGUUUGCUGUUGAGCUGCAUCCAAGCAUACUUCCCUCUCUUAUUGGACCCACCAGAGUGUGUGUGUGUGUGUGUGUGUGUGUGUGUGUGUGUGUGUGUGUGUGUGUGUGUGUGUGUGUGUGUGUGUGUGUGUAAAUGUCCAGCGGGGCUGUUGAAGUUAAUAUGUCCAGGGUCAGGGAGAUGGUGGGUUAUGAAAUUUAAGUCUCCUCGUAAACCGACUCAUUUCCAACAUAACAUGCUGAGCCCAUGAGGUGGAUGGUGAGAGCCUGUGAGUCAGACCAAGUGAGGGAAAGUUGGGAGGGAAGGAACAAGGAACCUUGUAAUUGUACAAUGUAGGUGAGAAGAAAGGAAAGGAAGGGAGAGUGAGAAUGAAGGAGAAGAGUUAAGAAAAUAAAAAAAACAGAAUACGAUUCAAACAAUAGGAACAACAGUACAUUAGCUGCCAGAGAUGGUCAACCAACCUCAGAGUACAUGAAGCAGAAGAAAACUGUCUUCUGGUCUCACAGAUCUUUUUUUUUCAUUUGGCGCAAGUCAGGUCCUCUAAACCGCACACUUGGUUGAAAAUUUGGCAUGUCCAAGUGCACUUUGCUAAAUUGUAGUGCAGCCCCGCGAAAGUACAUACCCUUCCCAUCUGAGCCCCUCCCAGUGGGCGCAGGAUGGAGGGUGGGGGGUGGUUAUACCACAGCUGUGAUGAAUUUUCACCAAUCACAUCAGCUCCUCUCAUCACCUUUAAAUGCACCACAUGCAGGGCAUAUCUCAAAAUGCGUUAAGUAGUCAACAAGAUGUCUGAGGACAGCAAAGCUAGACAUCCAUACUUCUCCCAUGAUGUUACGGUCUGGGAGGUCCAGGCGUGCCAUGGCCAGGUCUAUGGUCUGAUGAUGCUGUAAUCAACAUCGUCGACCAGGGUUGCCUGGAUGUCCUGAGAAAUGCUGCCCGAUGCAAAAAGCUGUUCAAUGGUGUGAGAAAACAAAAACUCUUCUGGCACCGUCUUCAGAUGGUGGCAACCUGUAGCAGCUCCUCAACAAGCGCUGCUGAGGACUUUGUGUCCUCCACACUCUCUCAAAUGAGCAUAAAGGGAUUUGGUGUGUGCCAGGUAAGGCCCAUGGUUAAGACAAACACUCUUUUCCACAAAUAAAGACACUCACAUGAAGUUGAAUACAUUUAAACCCCACGUGACAGAGGUGGGUUGUGCACACAGAUCACAACAUAAACAAAUACCAUGUCUAACUGACGGUAUUAAGAUUGAAACCACCUGUGAGUAAAGGAGGCGUCACGCUCCGUGGCCUGGCUUUUUCCUCCAUUAAUUUUUGCAUGAGACAUGAACUUGGCUCAUGCAAUUGAAUAUUAUAAUUUUGGCAUGUAGGCCAAACUCCUGACUGAAUAUUCACAGAAUUUAAGGAUGUGAAAACAUUAGAUAGAAAAGUUAUUCUGAAUAAAAGUGUCUUUUAUUGUUUUGUUAACAUUUUCGAAAAUGAAUCACUCAUUUGAUCGUGACAAUAAAUCCUCUCGUCAGCCUUGGCAGCCUUCCUGGAGACCCAGCGGGUGGGGUUCCAAAUAUUGAAUCAGGAGUUGAGGGCAAUUGAUGUCUGGUGAUGGAGGCUCAUGUGCAGGAUAUUUAAUUAUAGGCAUCACAGUUUUGGCUGUGUUAAUUCGGUCAGGUUAAGUGCGCAUAACAUGUGUCAAAAGUAUCAGAAUAUAUGGGUAUAGAUCUAAAUGUUUGUGCUAACCCAGAUAGUUGCACAGAUUAUUGGUUGUUGUCGAUUAUUUAUUGCACUGACACUGUGGAAACCUGCCUGUGAGGUAUUGAUGACGUGUGCGUACUGCUCCGCCGAUCCACCAUUUUCCCUCCUGAUCAGCUCUGCCCUGCCUGUGCAGAAAGCUAACCAGGUUUGAAUCUUUGAAGCUUUCAGAGAACUCUCUCUGCUGCUGGUGGGCAUGAAUUUGUGAAUACACCAGCUGGUUCUGUCGACACUUCCCGCUACUGCACUGCCACGCACAUCUCGGCGCAUCUCGGUGCUCCUCAGUUUACCAAUACCAAAUUGGGCUGUGCUGCAUGGAUUUACCACUGAGUUCAGGUGCUGAACUGGCCUCCCUGCAGUCCUGACUUAUCACCUCUUGAAACAUUUGAUGGAUCAUGGAAUGGAAAACUAGCAGCUGAAAUUCUAAAUCAUGAAUGAACAAGACAUUUUUCAGUUGGACUGUGGAAAAGGAGAUCAAGGAAGGAUACAUCUCUAGGAAAUAGGAAGUUAUGAGUGGAGGAUGUAAUAAAGGACAAAAACACAAAAGCAAGAAAAAAUGAUGAGAAAAAAUCAGUGAAUGGAGUUAGGAGUCUGGAAGAUUCAUAAGUGAGGGAUAGAGGGAGGAAUGCCAGUGUUAAUCCAUGUGUGAGAGCGGCAGCACAGUGUCAGGUGUCUACCUGAGAAUGAGCCUGAGUCACUGCUGUAUCACCGUGAGCAGACGAGCGAGAGAGAGGGAGAGAGAGAGAGAGAGAAGCAACGAAACUCACAGCAGGAAAGUACCUAUGGGAAGGGUGGAGGACAAACAGGCAAACCGAAGCAACAAACAUGGAAACCAAGGUAGAGGACAAAGUGGAAAGACAGUUUCAGAAUACACCUUUAACUGUUUGUUGUUUUCUCUUUUAGGAUGAGAGUCUGUCAUCUGCAGGCUUCUGUGUCCUGAACAGGAGCCAUUUUCUAGAGACUUUGUAGCCCCCUUACCCUCCUCCUCCCACUCUGAUUUAAUCUGUCUGACAUUUUCAUGCCUGGGGAUUAUUGUCCCAAUACCACAGUCCGAUACACACCGAAUCACCCCACCCUUUCCACACAGACACACACACACUAACACCCACAAGGAAGUGAAUGAGGGUCUGUUUUAACUUAAUACAUCCAUUAUUAUUUUUAACCAGUGUCGGGUAGUAGUGCGUUGUUGGUAAUGCCGUUACUUAAUUCAGUGACUAAUAAUGUAACGUGUUUUUUUAUUUUUUUUUAAUUCAGUAACUCUGUUUCCGUUACCAAACGCUGUGUUACUCUGUUCCUUUUGGUGGGGUUUUACAACGGCACAUAGUUCCCGUAACAUUUUAGUGAUCAAUAAAGUUAAAUUGAAUUGAAAAACAAAGCACUUGUCACCUUCUAGCAUCACACACAUAAUCAGACACGUGCCAUGAUGAGGACUGGGCAGGUCAAGGCACAGCAUGAUGGUGAGCGAGAAGGGAAAGAUAAGUUUCUCCUCAUAGAGAUACUCACAUUAUUUUCAACUCGGGAGUAAAAGGGAAAAAACAACAUUUCGCUAACAUGUCAACUGUGUCCCGGGUCAAAAAUCCUUUCUAUGGCAAACAUCAGCAAAAGCAAACUACUGCAGCAGCUAAAGAAGCGGCAUGAUUCAACAAAGUAAGCAGCUAAGGUAGCUAACGCAGCAUCCGAGGCCGAGAGUCACAGCAGCGAGUACACACCCACUCUACCCGAGCAGCAGCGGUUGGAGUUCGAAAGACGGACCCAUAGCCAGACACAACUUGAUAAACUCACCGCCAUUAUUCCAAGAGUGCAAUGGUAAAAUUUUGGUGUAAGUGUCAAGGUUUGUGUUGGUGCACAACGGAUCAUAUUGCCUGGAUGAUUAGAUUCAGUGAUGUUGAUGUUGAUGCAAAUGAACUGAAACAGUUGUUUAGUCAACAGUUUGUUUUAUUGAACAUCUGUACAGAAAUGAAAUGACGGCUAGAGGGAAACUCAGUCAAUCCACCUUUAAGUAAUGGGAGCAUUGGAAGAACGUUUUACAGUAACUAAAAAGUGACUUUCUCAGUAACCCAUUACUUUUUGGUUUAAGUAACUGAGUUACUAAUUGAGUUACUUUUUAUUCUUUUUACAAAGUAGCUAGUAGCUGUAACUACUGACUAUUUUUCAGUAAUUAGCACAACACUGCUUUCAACACAAUCCCAUAAGCACAUUGAGAAGAGUUCCUCACCAGUUUUACACCCUCCCUUUGCUCCACCACAGGUCUGGAUCAGGCCCCUCAGAGGGUGUGUGAGUGUGGCUGUGUGGCACUAAUUACACUCGUUCUGUCUACAAAACAGCUUCCUCAUUUUUCACCUACUUGACACACACACACCCAGCCCCCUCCCCCUCUGGUUCACUGUCUCUUUUUAUCCCAUUGCUUCCUGCUCUUCUGAGCUGAUGUGUACGCAUGUGUGUGGCUUACUGACACUUAACUGAUGGAGCGACGUCCAUCUGAUCCUCCUGCUGUCUCAGGUGUCCCUCAACACUGCUCACAACACAUCAGUCAUCCUAAAGCUGCCUUGCAGCUCCAAAACACACAAAUACACAUACACACCAGUUAUACACAACUGCACAGAUAAUAUCACACAUCUAGACACAGACAGAAACAUCACAACUGACCCACACAUGCACACACACUAUCACCUGCAAAUCCAGUACCACAUCUGGAUGGUAAGUAGAGGGAAGGGGGGGUAACAAAGAGAUUUGGGAUGCGUUAGGAUGUGAGCAGGACCCUCAGCAUGCACACACAUUUUCACAGUGCGCCUGAGGCAGAUUCUUUAGACCGAAGUUUUCAUCCUGGGUGGCAAGAGUCACACACUCUGUUGGGCUGCUGAUGGAAAUGUGGUGUCAAAAACAAGUGAUGAAUUCAACUCAUACCAGGAGCAAUGGAGUGGUAAUCACACUGAACUGGAACCAGACAAGAUCCAGUCCAUGUGUGUGUCUUAAUGCACCUGUGUUUGUGUGAGUGUGUUUUAGAGGGGUGGUAAUUUCAUCCGAGACCCUCAAAGUGACCCCAAAACACACUGACCCCCCCAGCCUGAGGCCACACAAAAGCUAAAACACACACUUAGCCAAGCAACACACAUUCACAGACACCAGCACCGCCCCCCCUUCCCUAGUAACAGCAGGUUACAGCAAGAGGGAUGUUAUGUUGAUACUGUGCAUACUUAAAUACUGUAAAACUAUUAAUUAUUUCUUUAUACACGUGGUUCCUUUCAUAAAACUGAGGACACUGGGUUUUAACCCAGACUCAGAGUUUUUCAGCUGUUUUGUGAGUUUUCUUGGAUCUCGUAAGUAGGGGGGACCGGGGACGGUUGCAUCAAGGCUUAUUCCUCCAAUCAGAAACAUACUAGCUUGAUGACACUGAUACUGCAGAUGCUCAGUUGGACACACACACCCACCAGCAUUACAGGGGACAGAUUCAGCAUCAUCUUCUCAAUUUAUUGGAAAAACAAAAUAAAAUAAAAACCUUUUUUUGAGGUAUGAAAGUAAUUUUUUUCAUGUGGUGUAUUUUUGUCAUACCAUCCCGACUGUUUGCAUGAAUUAAUCACAACUUAGUUAGUUUUAAUCGUUGUUUAGUUGUUUUCUUAGUUACAUGGUUACCAUUUAUUAAAAACAGUGUGUUUAGUUAACACAUGGUGUUUUGUCAUGGCAAACCCCAAUAUAGCGUUACAUUUGCAUCAAGAUUUCAUAUCUCGGUAAAAUCCACAAUCCACUUACUAACUUUGAAAUCAGUAACAUUUGCACAUUGACUCAAAGUAAGCCAUGUUUUAUGCAGAAAGAAACAAAACUUGAUAUUGGAUAUUAGAUUAAUACAUAAAUAAUACUAUAACAUUUUGUAUCUUAAAUUAUCAUUAUAAUAUAAUAAAUAAUACAUAUUCUUUGACCAAAAUGCUCAUUGAGACAAAAAAAAAAAAAGAAAAUUAAAAUUCAUUUUUUUAAUGAAUAUUGUCAAAAAUCUGUCUGAUGUAAUCAUAUUUAAAUGGUAUGGGGAAUAAGAGGACAAAUGUAAAUUGACUGUAUAAAUAAAUGGUUUGCCUGGACCAAAUCAUCUCUGAGUAAUUGAGAGAAAAGCAAAAAGUUGUUGCAACUGUCCCCAGUCUCCCCUAUGUUGCUUUGGAUAGAAGCGUCUGCUAAAUGACAUUGUGACGUUGAAACAUUGUUAGAUUUAAUGAAAAGACGAGUGUUAAAAGUGGAAUAUUAAACGUAUGAACAGUGAAUGGUUGAUAUGCAGAGACAUCUUGGAGGUUGGCUCACCCUGGGAGUGUCUGUGGUUAUACUGUUAAACCUCUAUCUUGUGCUGCCUCCUUCACAGUGAGAUUUUAAUCACUCUUUGUUUAUUUAAGCUUUUGUAAUUUUAAUCCCUAACACUCAGGAUGAUACCUUUGCUAAGCUGCGGAGCACUGUCUGAGUGCAGGCGUGUGCGAGACGUUUUUCUUGGCAGUGUCAUUGGUUUACUGAGGCAGAGAUGGAGCAAAAUAAGUCAAGAUGUCGACACCAAAGAGAAAUCUUGAGAAACUCAGAAAAUGUAACAGCCAUGUGCACAUAUAGGGCCCACGGGAGGCUUGAGCACCUGCCCUUUUUGUCUCGUAUUAAAAAGUGUGUUUGUGUGUGUGUGUGUUUUAAUACAUUAAAAAGUUCCUGUUAGAUAUGUAAAAAAAACACACAACUACACACAAACCGCCGUACAAUAACACAAGUGUUUUCACACCAGAGAGAGAGAGAGAGAGAGUGAAGCUAUUGCCUCAUGGAUAAUUGAUGAAACGUGACAGUGGAGCAACUUGAA